rnacentral:rRNA from 1 species
GGGAGGUAGUGACAAUAAAUAACAAUACGGGAUUCUUUUGGAUCUCGUAAUUGGAAUGAGUACAAUUUAAAUCUCUUAACGAGGAACAAUUGGAGGGCAAGUCUGGUGCCAGCAGCCGCGGUAAUUCCAGCUCCAAUAGCGUAUAUUAAAGUUGUUGCAGUUAAAAAGCUCGUAGUUGAAUUUCGGGAUCAAGGUGCCGGUCAUGCCUUUGGUAUGUACUGACAUCAUUGAUUUCUCCCUUCUGAUGAACUGUGAUGUCAUUAAUUUGGUGUCAUGGAGAAUCAGGACUUUUACUUUGAAAAAUUAGAGUGUUUAAAGCAAGCUCACGCUUGAAUACAUUAGCAUGGAAUAAUGAAAUAGGACGUUUGAUCCUAUUUUGUUGGUUUCUAGGAUUGACGUAAUGAUUAAUAGGGAUAGUUGGG